GGAACCCUCAGAAGGAAUUUUAGGGCCACCAGCAUGUCCUGGGGGUGACUGAGCAGCUCUGGGACAGGGGACAGCUCGGAAGUCACUGCAGACUGGGGAACGUGCCGGUUGGGCAGGAUGAGUGAACCCAGAAGAACGUAACAAGGUUGAAAACCCAAUCAGCCAUCAAAAUGCUAGCUUAGUGCUGAAUGUUCCCAACAAAACUCCUGACAGGUG